AUGACGAACAGGCGUUGCCACGCCGUGAAAGACACAGAGAUCGACCAGAAGGCCUACGUGGCCCAGGUGGAAGGCGUCGUCAGCAGUACCUAUGACUAGAUCCAGCUGUGGGAUGACAGUGGACCACUUGUGUACCCAGCUGGUUUUGUGUCCAACUUUAUGGGGCUGUUCUAUGCCCCUGGGCCGAGGCACUGACAUUCAUAUGCCCAAAACAUCUUUGCUGUGCUCUACCUGGCCACCUUGCUGCUUGUCUUCUUGAUCUACCACCAGACCUACAAGGUACCUCCCUUUGUCUUGUUUUUCAUGUGCCACGCCUCUUACUGUGUUCACUCCACCGUUGCGGAAGUCAGAGACCCCGAACGAACCUUUGUGCUGUGACUCUUCUAUGACUCAGUGCCCUCAGUAUCAGCCUCCUGCUGGCCCAGGGCUGGGGCUGGGGCUGCUGGUGUUCCAGCCUGGCAGCCUCCAUGAAGAGGAAUGUGAGGCUCUGCGCCCAUUGGUUACUGUUUCUUCUCCUCACACGGUUUGGCUGCCGUGGGGCCCUCCGCAAGCUGGGCAUCUGUGUUGGCCUUCAGGUGGUGCUGGGGCUGCUCUUCCUGCUGGAGAAGCCCACUGGCUACCUGUCUCACUCCUUCAACCGUGGCCGCCAAUUUCUAUUCUGCUGGACAGUGAACUGGCGCUUCCUCCCAGGGGCUCUCUGCCUGCACUGUGCCUUCCACUUGGCCCUGCUAACCACCCACCUCACCUUGCUCUUGCUGUUUACCCUCUACUGGUGGCACAGGAUGGGGGGAAUGUAUCUUGUCCCUGCUGAAGGAUCCCUCCAAAAGGAAGGCUCCACUCCAGAUCCUCACACCCAGCCAGAUCGUUUCUACCCUCUUCACCUCUAACUUCACUGGCAUCUGCUUCAGCCACCCCCUCCACUACCAGUUCUACAUCUGGUAUUUCCACACACUGCCCCACCUCCUGGGGGCCAGGACUGCACACUGGCUCACACACCUGCUCAGGUUGCUGGGGCUGGGGCUCACGGAGGUCUCCUGGAACACAUACCCCUCCACAUCCUGCAGCUCUGCUGCCCAGCAUGUGUGCCACGCUGUCCUCUUGCUGCGGCUCUGGCUGGGCCCACAGCUGUUCCCCAAGAGCAUCCAACACAGCAAGAAAGUUCCCUGAAAUCCACCCCUUUCCCUCCAGUGCACACUCAGGACCUGGGGAUAGACUCUGUGCCCUUCCAAAUAAACCUUGCCAAGUCCUA